rnacentral:rRNA from 1 species
UACGUAGGGGGCAAGCGUUGUCCGGAAUCAUUGGGCGUAAAGCGCGUGUAGGCGGCUAGGUAAGUCUGCUCUGAAAGCCCGGGGCUCAACCCCGGGAGGCGGGUGGAUACUGUCUAGCUCGAGUCCGGAAGAGGAGUGUGGAAUUCCUGGUGUAGCGGUGAAAUGCGCAGAUAUCGGGAGGAACACCUAUGGCGAAGGCAGCUCGCUGGGACGUUACUGACGCUGAGACGCGAAAGCGUGGGGAGCAAACAGG